CUUCCAGGCUGUUAAGGCCUUUGUCCGUCGUCGUUGUCAGGACUAAGCGGGGCGCGCCCCUUUGGUACCGAGCGGGCACAGCAAGACCCGGAUCUGCGCCGCUCCACGGCCCAAGGUAGAAAAACUGAAAGAUGUUUCUCUCCUCAUCCCCCUGGAUGCUGUUUGAUGAUUCUACAGGAAGUCAAAAUCUAAUAAAAGCAAAGCAAUUGAUAUAUUUAUGCCUUGCCUUAUGGAAAAAUUUCAUCAACAGGAAG